rnacentral:rRNA from 1 species
GUGCCAGCAGCCGCGGUAAUACGUAGGGUCCGAGCGUUGUCCGGAAUUAUUGGGCGUAAAGGGCUCGUAGGCGGUUUGUCGCGUCGGGAGUGAGAACCAUGGGCUUAACUCAUGGCUUGCUUUCGAUACGGGCAGACUAGAGGUAUGCAGGGGAGAAUGGAAUUCCUGGUGUAGCGGUGAAAUGCGCAGAUAUCAGGAGGAACACCGGUGGCGAAGGCGGUUCUCUGGGCAUUACCUGACGCUGAGGAGCGAAAGUGUGGGAGCGAACAGGAUUAGAUACCCUGGUAAGUCCACACCGUAACGUUGGCG